CAAACAACUAGAAGCAAGAACGACUAAGACCGUGAACAAGGUAGAAGAAACGCCGAAGGUAAUAAGCAGCGAAGCAAUUAGAAGAAGUAAUGCGGUCGUAAAGGAAGGAAAACGAGAGAAAAUGGGAAAACAAAAACAAAAGGCGAAAUACGCGAGGUUAUAAUUGGACAGCCAGACGUGUUCCAUGCCAGACAGUAGAAUUAUCGUAUGGAAGAGCCGAGAUGCGUAAACGCAACGAGAAAUCGCAGCACAGAUGAUGCCUCAGACGCUCCUUAGUCAUGAACCAACUUGUGAAGUGUGCAAAGACCUAUACAGGUCAGGAUAUUUUUGGAAAUAUCUGAAAGGAAACAGAGAACGUUUGCCAAUUCCAUGGAUAGACGCCUUUGAGACCCUCUCGCAUGUCGUGACUCGUUAAGCUGAUCAACGAUCGCAAUUUCGAAUCAGUCCUUUAAUCUACCGACUGCUAUUGGUUAUCCAUUACGCGUUUAACGAGGUCGCCGCUGCAAGAAACGAUAUUGCACCGGACCACGGUCUAAUUUCGUCGCACGGCCCUCUUUUGACCUGGUUUUCAUACGGUUUCGGCGCACCUGAUCCAACGAGGAUAUGCCCCGCCUUUGAGCGACGAGAAUUCGAUAUAUCAGUCCGUUUCUACAUUCUGAUCUAACUGUCAAAUGGACUUUCUGAAUGCAUCAGCAAUUUCAUAUCAGCAAUACAAAACAUUGUAUCAACCUAACCUAUCACACUC
rnacentral:misc_RNA from 1 species